UACGGAGGGUGCAAGCGUUAUCCGGAUUCACUGGGUUUAAAGGGCGCGCAGGCGGGCUGGAAAGUCAGUGGUGAAAGCCUUGAGCUUAACUCGAGAACUGCCAUUGAUGCUAUCAGUCUUGAAUAUUGUUGAGGAUUGCGGAAUGGGUCAUGUAGCGGUGAAAUGCAUAGAUAUGACCCGGAACACCUAUUGCGAAGGCAGCAGGCUAAACAAAGAUUGACGCUGAGGGUCGAAAGCGUGGGGAUCAAACAGG
rnacentral:rRNA from 1 species